rnacentral:rRNA from 1 species
ACAAGCAGUAGGAGCAUGAUUUAGUCAUGUGACUGCGUACCUUUUGUAUAAUGGGUCAGCGAGUUAUUUUUAGUUGCGAGGAUAACUGAAUAAGGGAUCCGUAGCGAAAGCGAGUUUUAAUAGGGCGACUAGUCGCUAGGAGUAGACACGAAACCGGCGCGAUCUAUCCAUGGCCAGGUUGAAGAUUAGGUAGUACUAAUUGGAGGUCCGAACCCAAUACUGUUGCAAAAGUAUGGGAUGAGCUGUGGAUCGGAGUGAAAGGCUAAUCAAGCACGGAG